UGGGAAGGCUACAAAAUGAGCCUGCUAACCCUUCAUCACAUAGAGAGGAGUCACAUGUUGAGCCACUUGAUGAGACUAUUUCCAGACCCAGCAAGAAGAAAUCUAGAUUUGUAGCUGGCCCUGAUUCUUAUCCUGCAAGGAAGGUGCAUAUAGAGCAUCAUAAUCAAGCUGUGUAUGCAUCAGAGGCACAAAGAGUUCAUUCAAAGUCUUCAGUUCAUACAGACAAGGUGGACGAUAGGUUUACCAAUGGCACAGUUGCAGUACACAGCAAGCAGAAAGAUGGAAAUGUGUUUGUACCUAGUAUAAUCGAACAGGAGCGGACAAAGUCUCUGAAUCAAGCUGUGGAUGAUCAGCAGCCGGCAGGUGAAAUUCCCAAUAAUAUGGUUCAUGCAGACAAGGUGCAAGUGGAUUUUGCCAGUGAAGCAGGAAACGGUAAAAAGAGUGCCAAAGAUAGUAGAGGAAAUACAAAAAGGAAAAUCAAGAUUUUAACGAAUUCUUCAAAUGCAUUGCCUCAUCUCAGGCGCAGUAAGCGGUUGGUAAAGGAAUCACACAACCUAGUUGACGUUGAUCCUAUUGAGAAAAUAGAUACUUCCCCUAAUCAAAACCUAUCUGAAGCUCCAGAGAUUGAAAAAACUUUGGCAGAUUCUGACCCUAGUUCUCCUGCUCAGGACCGAUUUCCUCAUGGUGGCUCUAAUGAGCGGGAUGGUGUUGAUGCAACUACACCACCUGCUUUGAAUCAUGGUACACAACAAGAUGAUCAGUUCCCGCGUACCCAGAUGUACUCUCCAGAGACUAGGUGGGCACUUCCAGUUGCAAGCUCAAAUUCAUGGCAUGACUGUGAGAUACUUCAGGAGAGUUUUAGUGGGGUUGGCCAACUUGAUAGAGGUUAUGCAGAAGUGUGUUCUCCAGCAGAGAUGCAAAAUCAGGAUAUGCAUGGCAACUGGCACAGGAAACUUGCAGCGACAAGAACCAUUUGGGACAGAUACAACUCAAGCCUCACAAUGAAACCUUUCAGAGCAUGGAAGGCAAAAAAGGAAUGGUUUCAAUGGCUCUUCUUCAAAUGGUGGGAUGCACCCUGAAGAGUGGUCCUUCUCUGAAACCUGCCACCAGAACUUGUCUGCUUCAUGCAGCCGCCUCGUUGCUUUGCUGCCAUCACCGGCUGCCACUGCAUUGCCGACAACGACACCGCCUUCUUCACGUGAAAGUCUCCUGCACUUUCAAAGCCACGCAGCUGUAUCUAUUGAAACCUCUCUAUCAUUAACAUUUGCUUCUUAACCUUGCAGAUCUACCACUUAACUGCAGCACUCCAACAUUGCUUCAACAACAACCACCAUCCCCCCUCUACUCACAGGUACCUUCCUCCCAUCCAUAACUGCGUCUUGGUUUGAAAAAUGUUUGUGUUAGGUUUUAGUUCUACGACUAGAAAUAUAAUAGAGUAAAUUUCACAGAGUUACAAUAAGAUUGUAAAAACUAUCACACAACUACACUUUUUAAGGAUAAUUUCACAAAACUACUCUUUCAUUGUCACUCCAUAUUACAAAACUGCACUUUUGAGAAUCAAUUUCAUGGAACUUCAAUUUUACCUGCAUUGUCUUUUAUGUUUAGAAUUUCUAGCAUAUUUCUAUAUUUUCCUAAGCCACAAACAUCUGCCAUGUACCUUUUGCAUGGGUUGUACUAUAUCAUAUGCAUCUGCAUGAUUUUAUUACUGUAGGAGCAAUGAGAUUUCUGAUACUGAUAUAAAGCUGUUUCAGGAUGCACCAUGUGGUGAUGUGCUGCCGGGACCUAUUAGUAACUCUUCGAAAAAGCGCCGGGGGCGUGCCCCUGAAAAAUUAAUGGAACCACACAAAGAAGCUGAUAGGCCUGUGUUAACACCCAGUGGUACGAGUAUUGUCCAUGUUUAUCUAUGUUUAUUGGUAUUUGAAGAACGUCUACAUUCAGAGCUUCGUUGACUCAUUUUAUGACAAACUGACAUGAACCAGCAGCUGGAAUGUGCACCCGCCAUGUCCUAAAGUUGCAACUACCCUCUCCCUUCUCAUCAAGCAGAACUAUCCUGGGAUCUAUGUAUCAGAUGAUACCAGUGGAAAUGGCCAAUCCUGUGAACAUGUGGUUUACCACUGGCACCAAUGCCCACCAGAUACAAGGGCUACUAUAUUGGAUGAAUUCCUUGUGAGUAACUAUCAGGACAUGUUUUGUACUAUAUUUUGUUCACUGCAAGAUUUGCAAAUGGUGAGUGCAUGUUAUCUGAAUACUGCUGAAAUGCUACAAGUGGUCCCCUGGCCAUGAAGAGGAGUGUCAAAAGAUAUUUAACCGAAAGGCAGUCAGACAGUUAGUUAAUCUCUUUUGCCACGAGAGGCAAAGGAUUAGACAGGUGUUAGCAGCAAAAAAGGACAAGAAAUCUUCACCAGCUCCUAGGGCCCGUGGAGAAAUGGAGCUAGAAGAGGAUGAUGUUAGAGAAGAUUCAGACAAAGAGCAACGAGAUGAGUCAAUGGUGGUUCUCGAGCAUGAAGAUCCGCUGAAAUGGAAACCAUUCGUCCCUCUAUGGAUGAAACCAAAAUGAUGGGAAAUGUUGUGUGACCACUGGGCCAAAGAUGAAGUCAUGCAGUCUUACCAACAAAGGAAGAAUAGGUAUUCAGGAAAACACACAUGUAAUGCUGCAGGUUCACAGAAGAUAACACUGCAUGAGCAGGUCAUGGUAAGAACUAAGAAUGCAAAUCCUGCUUGUUGACAUUUAUUUCAUCAUAAUUUGAUGAUCCUCGCAUGGUUAAAUAGGGCUUGGAUAAUGGUGGAAAGCUGGCGAUUGACAUUGAUUCACAUUCACCCACCAUGGUAUUGAGGGAGUCUGAUGACCACAGGGCAUGUCAAACUAAGGUACCUACCUUUUUUAAUGUACUGUUUUAAUUACAAUCCUUAAGACGGCAGUAGUUAAGUGGUGGUAUUGAUUAUAUGUGCCAACUAGAUGAACUGUUUUGACAUGCCUUCUGUUUUUUAGGAUACCAGAGAUCAACCUAAUAAGGAGGCACAGUGCACUCAACUAGGCUCCCAUUCUGUGCAGAGACAGGUGGGAAGUGGGAAGCGUGGGAGCUACUGUGGUGCCAUCGGUGUCAGCAAGAAGUCCCAGCACGAGUCAUCAUCUAAAUCCUCCCCAGUUUGUUUGAGCAAACAGGGACAACAGCCAAUGUUCACAAAAGAACAGGUGCAAGAGAUGAUUAAUCAAGCCCUGCAAGGGUUAAAUGAAGCUUGGGAGAAGAAAUUUUUGUCCUUGGAGCAAAAGAUGCCCAGCAUGUCCUCAUCACACAUCGUCCCUAAUGUUAGCACAUUACAGCUGUCCAUUUAGCUCAUUAUAGACAGGAAAGCUGGGGUUGCUUGAUUCGUCAAUGACAUUCAUUUGCAGGGUGUGAAGGAGCCCUCAUUGGCUGUUGGAAGAAGCAAAUGUUGCAAACUGGCACGGCAGGUAAUAACAGAGUUUGCAUCCUGCCCUGCAUACAUCUGUAGGCCCUAGUAAUUGCUAGGGAGAAGUUAUUGUGAAACCUACCUCUAAAACCUUGCUGGGGUUAGCAUUUCAUCCGUAUAAAAGAAAAUACGGUGUUAGAUUUAUGCUAUCCGGAUCUCAUAGGUUGAUCACUAGGCUGCAAUUGCUAAGUCUGUAUGGCUAAGUAGUUACAAAUAACAUUGUAUGAUCUACACUGUAGAAACAGUGAUAAAUGAAGGUAUACUUAUUCUGAGUUUUAAGUUUCAACAGGAAACAGAAUAAUUUAAUUCUAGUUCUGUUGCAUCUGGGUCCGACGGGCCCUACGAUAAUGUUAAAAUCCUGCCCUGAAACAUGAUACUUUAUAAUUUGCUUUCCUAAGAAAAACUUGUAAUGUCGAAAGAUGAUGAAGUGUUUAACACACAUGCAGUGGCGGACCCAGCUUUUGGUCAAGACUAGGCCAAAAUUCAGCGUCAAAACUACCACAUACAAGCUUUUAUCAUGGUCUUGUAUGUAAAAUGUGCAAGAUUUCUACCACAUAUGUAACACAGAAGUAGCAGUAUGAAGUAAAGAAAGAAGAAACAAAGACAGGAACAAAAAGAAAUGCACCUUUGCUGAAGCCUUUGAUUGCAAUGGACAUAGACAAUAUCAUUCAUCCUUUAUUUGAUGCUCAAGUCUGUUUCAUUUUUUUGGAGUGCAUGUGCUAAAAUAAACUCCAAUUUCUCUCAUCCAGAUGCACUACAAGUCUGGCUCAAGACAUGAACUGAAAACUUCUACAAAUGUGAAGCACUGCAGCCAUGACAAACCACCAUUCAUCUGCAGGUCUAGUCGAAAAAAUGAAAAUAAGCACACAAUAAGGCCGAAAUGAAGGAUAACAAAUAAAAUAACAAAUUACCAAUGACAUAUACCAGGGAGCGUAGUAGUCCUUGUCUGAAUUUGUUCAUCUCCUUUGUCAGAGAUGCUUGCAAAUGAGAACAGACAAAAACGAGUCCGAAUGGAUCACAUCCAUGACCGCUUGCUACCACUAAAACCAAAAUCCCAAUACACCUAAAUCUCAUCGCCGCUAGCAGCCGUGGAAGCAAGGAGCCCGUAGUCGACAGGCAAGCCAAGCUAGCGCCGACGGCCAGAUCAGCGGCAGAGAGCCGAGAGCCGAGGGGCUGAGCCACCGAAAGGUCGAGUAGCUGAGAGACACAGAGAGAGACUGAGCGAUAACAGCGGCAGCUGCUUGGCGCCGCCGGCCUAUUCGCGCAGGCUCCAACAGCCGGCGGCAGGCACACCAGGCGGUGGCGCCGGCACUAGUCGGUGCGUGGAGCUGUCGCGAGACAGAGGCGAGGCGAAGCGACAGGGAG
rnacentral:lncRNA from 1 species